AAGAUAACAAUAAUGGGCCAGCUCUUGGAAAAGUGUCACAGUCCCAUUUGCUACUCUUAUUCCUGCUUCUGGUCUCCCAUUGAAGCACAGAAAUCCAGGCCCAGACUGAUGAGGGAGUGGAGCUUUGCUGGUAGAAAUGGGCCGCUGAAACUUGACGAAAACCCAAUUUAGCUCCAACCGAAGACCUUGAAGAUGGCGUAAAUUAUCCCGGUACCCAAGUAUUUUUUCAUCUGGUUUUGCUGACAUGAUAAUUAGAGAUGAAAUAUUUCUAAUUGAUUUUUGUAAAUUAUAAAUGAUAACUCGCUCAUUGAAUGAGCUAUCAACAAGAUUUCCAAAGGCUUAUCCGACUCCGAAGUACCUGCAAAGAUGGUUAGAAAGCAUCGGACAGGGUUUUCCGGUCACUUAUUCUCGUGAUUAAGUCAGUAAUUUGUGAAAGGGUGGCUUAAGUAUAGUGAGUGUGUAAAAUAACAUGUACCUAUAAUCAUUGUACCAUAGUUUCUUAUAUAUACAUCAAAAGUCUCCUCAUCCUACUAGGACAGGAACUCCA